rnacentral:rRNA from 1 species
GAUGAACGCUGGCGGCGUGCCUAACACAUGCAAGUCGAACGGAGUUAUAUGAAGUUUUCGGACGGAUUAUAACUUAGUGGCGGACGGGUGAGUAACGCGUGGGUAACCUGCCUCAUACAGGGGGAUAACCGUUGGAAACGGCUGCUAAACCCGCACAAGCAUCCAUUGUCGCCUGACAGAGUGGGCAAAUAUUUAUAGGUAUGAGAUGGGCCCGCGUCUGAUUAGCUAGUUGGUGGGGUAAUGGCGUACCAAGGCGACGAUCAGUAGCCGGCUUGAGAGAGUGACCGGCCACAUUGGAACUGAGACACGGCCCAAACUCCUACGGGAGGCAGCAGUGGGGAAUAUUGCACAAUGGGGGAAACCCUGAUGCAGCGACGCCGCGUGAGUGAAGAAGUAUUUCGGUAUGUAAAGCUCUAUCAGCAGGGAAGAUUAUGACGGUACCUGACUAAGAAGCCCCGGCUAACUACGUGCCAGCAGCCGCCGUAAAAC